UUUACUUUGAAAAAAUUAGAGUGCUCAAAGCAGGCUACUUGAAUGGCCUGAAUGGUGAUGCAUGGAAUAAUGGAAUAGGACCUCGGUACUAUUUUGUUGGUUUUCGGUGCCAGAGGUAAUGACGAAUAGAAACAGGCGGGGGCAUUCGUACUGCGACGCUAGAGGUGAAAUUCUUGGACCGUCGCAAGACGAACUACUGCGAAAGCAUUUGCCAAGGAUGUUUUCAUUAAUCAAGAACGAAAGUUAGAGGUU
rnacentral:rRNA from 1 species